CCCUUAGAUGCUCUGGGCCGCACGCGCGCUACACUGGUCGAUGCAACGAGUUUCUUUCCUUGGCCGACAGGCCUGGGCAAUCUUUGAACAUCGAUCGUGAUCGGGAUAGAUUCUUGUAAUUUUUGAUCUUAAACGAGGAAUUCCUAGUAAACGCAAGUCAUCAGCUUGCAUUGAUUACGUCCCUGCCCUUUGUACACACCGCCCGUCGCACCUACCGAUUGAAUGGUCCGGUGAAAUCUCCGGACUGGCGUGAGUCGGAGCAAUCUGACAAACACCGGAAAGUUGAUUAAACCUUACCAUUUAGAGGAAGGUGAANUCGUANCA
rnacentral:rRNA from 1 species